GCCACGGACACACCCUUCAACGAAAACUCAAGAUCUUCGCAAUUUAACAUCGCAAAGGCCUUUAGAUUAGGGAUACCAAAUUUGGUGUUGAUCUGAAUAAAUCUCUAGGAGGAGUUCGUUAAAAUACAAGGCAUGCAAAUGACAAAAAUGAUGCAAAAUUUGCUCAUAAAAUUAAAAAUAACCGACUUCCUGUUGGGUUUCGGAUAUUGCUCCAAGAGUCUUUUUUGUAGGUACUGAUGCUUUACAUAUGUGUGCCAAUUUUCGUGUAUGUACGUGAAACACAGCUUGAGGGCUGUUGAUUUUUUUACGAUAGGUGGCGCUGUCGAGCCAUUUUGCCACACCCUCUUCUGAAACCUAUAUCAGACGUAAAUUUUCACCAGGUUUGACGCGUCUGCAAAGUUUCAGGACUUUUCGAGCAUGUUUAGGCCCUCAAAAAUGCGAUUCAUUUUGGAGAAGAAGAAGAAGAAGAAGAAGAAGAAGAAGAAGAAGAAGAAUAAUAAUAAUUAAAGCUGCAAGCAGCGAUGAACGGGCCCUCGCACCCGGGCUCACUGCCACCGGGUGACUUUUGUAAAACAGCGAACGGCGAGAAAUAUGCGUUUAAUGUGGUAAAUAUAAGAGGAAUAUGUCAAAGUCAUUUAUAUGUGCCAAUCUUCCUGCUGCCAGCUGGUGGCGCUAUGACUAUAACUGGAUUUUGGCAUGUACAUUUCUUCAGUCCAGUACUUUUAUCAAGGACAUGAAAUUUAGUGCAGAUUGAACAUGGAAUGUUUGAGUUAGUAUAAAGCAUGUUGUGUCCUAUUGACAACAGGUGGCGCUAUGAUUAUAACUGAAUAUUGGCCUUUAGAUAUCUUCAGGCCAUGACUCUUUCCAAAUAUUUGAAGUUUGGUGCAGAUUGGACAUUGCAUGUUUAAGUUAGUGCAAAACAAGCCAUUUCCUGUUGCCAGCAGGUGGCGCUA
ensembl:lncRNA